GUAGCUCUGGUACAUUAUAUACACUGGUGUAGCUAUAGGGGUCGCAGCGGUCGCAAUUGCGAUCGGGCCCCUAAGUCAGGGGGGCCCACGGGGCUCCUUCAAGCCAGGAGAACAUGGCCCGCA